rnacentral:rRNA from 1 species
AACGAACGCUGGCGGCAUGCCUAACACAUGCAAGUCGAACGAAGCCUUCGGGCUUAGUGGCGCACGGGUGCGUAACGCGUGGGAACCUACCAUCAGGUUCGGAAUAACAGUUAGAAAUGACUGCUAAUACCGGAUAAUGUCUUCGGACCAAAGAUUUAUCGCCUUUUGAUGGGCCCGCGUAAGAUAGGUAGUUGGUGGGGUAAAGGCCUACCAAGCCGACGAUCUUUAGCUGGUCUGAGAGGAUGAUCAGCCACACUGGGACUGAGACACGGCCCAGACUCCUACGGGAGGCAGCAGUGGGGAAUAUUGGACAAUGGGCGAAAGCCUGAUCCAGCAAUGCCGCGUGAGUGAUGAAGGCCUUAGGGUUGUAAAGCUCUUUUACUGGGGAUGAUAAUGACAGUACCCAGAGAAUAAGCUCCGGCUAACUCCGUG